CCAAUGGCAUCGUAGCAAAUGUAGCUGUCACGUGAUGUCAGUCAGCUGACGCGAAAUGCCCAAGGCGGUAACGAGGAAAUCCCAGCACGUGCAGGCAAUCAGCCGGCUCUUGUCAUGACUGGCAGCAUCCAAAACCACAAUUCCCGUCCAUAUUACCCGAAUUCCGGAUAAAAUAACCCAGCGGUCAGGAUUUUUGGUACAGAUUUGUUUUUCAGCCAAAACUAACUGAAUUCCUUCAUUACCGAUGACGUGCUGAUCCGUUUUCGAGGAGGAGGGGGAAUCAUUUAGAGAUGAAAUGACGAGCUUGCAGAACAUGGACCAACUGAACAUGGACCAACUGAACAUGGACCAACUUGAAGACUGGUCGCCUUCAAAACACAAAAUGGCGUGUCUCCAGGUUGCCACUAGAGACGUUCCAAACGUAGACGGCGCCAUCUGCUGAUCCCGCCGCCACAAAGCCAGCGUCUGGGCUGAGAAGAGAAGGGGUUGAUGCACAAACAAACUUGCAGCCCUCAGCUCUGAAACACAAACACGAGUCGUCAGCUCGUGAAGACGCGUGACGAGGCUCGAUAUGUACUUACCUGAAGGCGGCGCUCUGGCUGCUCCACCGGCGAACGUCGAGCAGUUGGAGGCCGUCAUCGCGGCAGCAGCUGAGCAGCUGGCGGCGGUCGGUGCUGAGGUCCAAUGACGUGACUUUGCCCUGAGCUUCCACCUCAUGAACACAGCUGGCCAGCCUGAGAUGGAAAAAAGACGCUCAAAUGUGUCAUUGUGUCACUGAAUUCAUGUUUUUUUAAAAAAAGGCAACCUGGUGUCCCAGAAUCGUAUCUUGUGGUCGAAAUGUCCGCUGAUGAUGAGGUUUUCAGAGCAGACCACGUCGCUGCAGGAAGACGACACGUCCACUAGCUGAACACCUGAGCAACACAAGUCACCGUGUUGUAUUGAUCCACGUAUUGAUGACUUAUCAGAGAACGGCGUGACCUACAGGCGGCUCUCUGAAGGUCCCACAGUCUGAUAGUGCGGUCUGCACUUCCUGUGACCACCUGAUGAAGACUGAACCUCGCAGCGGUCACCUUCCUGUUGUGCCCCGUCAGAGUCAGCUAACACACACACACACCACAAAUAUGUCAAAUGUAUGCCAAACGCUGCACAGCAUUAGGCCGUUACCUUGGGAACGGGGUCAUCCAAACGCCACAACAAAGCCGACUUGUCGUACGACCCCGCCAGAAUUCUGUGACCCUGCAAAAGCCAAACCUUCGUCUUUAAAAAGCACAGUGCGGACGGCGAGUGUACUCACCGUGGGUUCAAACUCCACACAGGUGAUGCCCUCCGUGCUCCCAUCCAGGGUGGCGCGGUGUCUCAGGGUGCCUGAUGACAUCAAUGGAAGCGUGUCAAGUUCGAUCGGGUCGUGUUGCCUUUAUGGCAAAACCCGGGCGGCGUACCUGCUUUGACGUGCCACAGUUUGACCACCCUGUCUGUUCCACCGCUGGCCAGCAGGGCGGAGCUAGAGCAGCAGCUGGCUGCGUUGAUUCCCUGCUCAUGUGCAUCCUGUGGAUUGAAAAAAAACGCACCUUAACGGAGGUCUUCAUUCUGGCUAUUUCGAGUCCAGACUUGGACAUGACUCCAUAUUGCGUCUUACCAGGACCUGCAGAGCGUGGACAGGAACUCUGGCUAGCAUAGAAACUCCGACAGGACACAGCAGGUCCUCCUCCAAACCACAGAAGCUGUGGCCCCGCCUCUUCCUGUAAAGAGAAACAUGACUUUCGAGAUUUUGCCAUGUAAGAAGAUGUAGCAAGAGGGAUCAAUGUUGCCAACCUAGCCACUUUGUGGCUAUAAUUAGCAAAUAAUCAGUCCCAGAAAAGGGAGAAAGAGAGCAAAAACGCAACAUAAAGAGAAGCUGCAAUGUGGACAAUAUAACAACUAUUCAUACAAUUUUUGUUUAAUAAGUUUUGUUUAUAUUCUUAAAAUUCAAACAUCAAAGUGCCCCUACACCCCGCAUCCUAUGAUUUUCAGUAUGCAGCCCUCAGUGAAGUUUGGGCAACCUGGUCCAGAUGAGGAGCUGAUGCAUCUGAUCCAUUCUGGCUGGGUCGCAGACACUUCAUAAAACAUUCAUUUAAAUGUGUGGACAACUGAUGCCUGACUUCCUCUUGUCAUCCUUUAGUCAUCUUCCUCCUUGAUACAGGAUAUCAUCAUUGUGCAUUCAAAUUUCUG